CCUACGGGGGGCUGCAGUGGGGAAUAUUGCACAAUGGGCGCAAGCCUGAUGCAGCCAUGCCGCGUGUGUGAAGAAGGCCUUCGGGUUGUAAAGCACUUUCAGCGGGGAGGAAGGCGGUGAGGUUAAUAACCUCAUCGGUUGACGUUACCCGCAGAAGAGGCACCGGCUAACUCCGUGCCAGCAGCCGCGGUAAUACGGAGGGUGCAAGCGUUAAUCGGAAUUACUGGGCGUAAAGCGCACGCAGGCGGUCUGUCAAGUCGGAUGUGAAAUCCCCGGGCUCAACCUGGGAACUGCAUUCGAAACUGGCAGGCUAGAGUCUUGUAGAGGGGGGUAGAAUUCCAGGUGUAGCGGUGAAAUGCGUAGAGAUCUGGAGGAAUACCGGUGGCGAAGGCGGCCCCCUGGACAAAGACUGACGCUCAGGUGCGAAAGCGUGGGGAGCAAACAGGAUUAAUACCCUUGUAGUC
rnacentral:rRNA from 1 species